GGGCUCGGCGCGCUGGCCCCGCCCCGCCCCCGGGAGGAAGUUCCCGCUGUGGCGGCGGCCGACUGACGGGUCGGUCGGCAGACGGUGGCCGCGCGGGUCCGGUCCGCGCUCUCCCAUGGCGGAGCGGGAGGAUGUCGCUGGUGUUGGGGCUGCUGUCGCACACGCUGGGCAGGGUGCUGUGGUACUCCGGGCUCCAUAGGGGCUGCCAUGCCCCGCGGAAGCAGGCCAUGGAGCAGGACAAGGCGCUCGAGGUUUACGAUAUAAUCCGUACUAUUCGGGACCCGGAGAAACCUAAUACUUUAGAAGAACUGGAAGUGGUAACAGAAAGCUGUGUUGAAGUACACGAGAUAGGUGAAGACGAGUAUCUGGUUAUCAUCAGGUUUACACCAACAGUACCUCAUUGUUCUUUAGCUACUCUCAUUGGCCUUUGUUUAAGAGUAAAACUUCAGAGAUGUUUGCCUUUUAGACAUAAGCUGGAAAUCUACAUAUCUGAAGGUACACAUUCCACUGAAGAAGACAAAGGACAAAAUUGCAGCCUGGAGGUUUUGGAUCUGAAGAAUCAGUUGUUUCCAAAGCUGGAAAGGUGCUAGUGACCCGCAGAUCAGGUGAAGAGCUGGACAGAUGCAGCUGGCUUUGCUUUUAGAAGAACAGAUUUCAUCAAUAUCCAGCGCAGACUUAGGUUGCAGCAAGUGCGCUUGUAUCAGAAUGAGGAUAUCUGCCGGGAGCGACGAGAGACACUGUGGCUGCGAGAUAGGCGGCUCCUCUUCCCAGCGAGCUGCUUGGUGAUCUGUGGGGCGACUGAUGCCUUGGCUGCCGUUCAGCGAUACCUGCUUAAGGCAAAGCCUCAGCGCCUCAAAAACAGCUUUUGCUCCUCAAUUUAAUUUUUUUUUAAUAAAUAUAGAA